rnacentral:rRNA from 1 species
GUCAGGUAGUAAGGGCGCAGGGCGGAUGCCUUGGCUCUGGGAAGCGAUGAAGGACGUGGCUAGCUGCGAUAAGCCUCGGGGAAGAGCAAACAUCUUUUGAUCCGGGGAUUUCCGAAUGGGGGAACCCGUAUGGCUGUUGAGGCCAUGCACUGCUGAGUGAAUACAUAGCUCAUCAGGGCGAACUCGGGGAACUGAAACAUCUCAGUACCCGAAGGAAUAGAAAUCAACCGAGAUUCUGCUAGUAGCGGCGAGCGAAAGCGGAAGAGCCCAAACCGUCGGGUACGCCCGGCGGGGUUGUAGGGCCGUCAAUAAAAGAUAAUUGGAGAAUUAGCUGAAGUGUCUGGGAAGGCACGGCAUAGAGGGUUAGACCCCCGUAAGCGAAAGUUUGAAGAUGUCCGAGACGGUACCUGAGUAGGACGGGACACGAGAAAUCCCGUUUGAAUCUGGGGGGACCACCCUCCAAGGCUAAAUAUUACCCAGAGACCGAUAGUGAACCAGUACCGUGAGGGAAAGGUGAAAAGCACCUCGAACAGAGGAGUGAAAUAGAUCCUGAAACCCUGUGUCUACAAGCAGUGGAAGCACUACUGAUCUUCGGAUCAUGUGCGACCGCGUGCCUUUUGCAUAAUGAGCCAACGAGUUGUCUGUCGGUGGCAGGUUAAGUUUUUAACGAAGCCACAGCGAAAGCGAGUCCGAAAUGGGCGUUAGUCAUCGGCAACAGACCCGAAACCGAGUGAUCUACCCCUGUCCAGGUUGAAGCCUGGGUAAGACCAGGUGGAGGACCGAACCGUUGAGCCUUAAAACGUUCUCGGAUGAGGUGGGGGUAGGAGUGAAAGGCUAAUCAAACUCGGAGAUAGCUGGUUCUCCCCGAAAUAUAUUGAGGUAUAGCCUCGUGAUAGACCGUCGGAGGUAGAGCACUGGAUGGACUAGGGCCCUCACCAGGGUACCAAACCCAACCAAACUGCGAAUACCGGCGAGUUGUUUCACGGGAGUCAGACAGCGGGAGCUAACUUUCGUUGUCGAAAGGGAAACAACCCAGACCAUCAGCUAAGGCCCCCAAGUCAUGACUAAGUGGGAAAGGAAGUGGGAGUGCCCAGACAACCAGGAGGUUGGCUUAGAAGCAGCCACCCUUUAAAGAAAGCGUAACAGCUCACUGGUCGAGCGAGCCUGCACCGAAAAUUUAACGGGGCUCAAGUCAUGCGCCGAAGCUAUGGGAUUUGUAUUUAUACAAAUCGGUAGGGGAGCGUUCCCUAUGCAGUGAAGCUGAAUCGAGAGGGUCAGUGGAGCGUAGGGAAGUGAGGAUGUUGGCAUAAGUAACGAAAAUGCGAGCGAGAAACUCGCACGCCGAAAGCCCAAGGUUUCCCGGGCCAUGUUAUUCAGCCCGGGGUUAGUCGGCACCUAAGACGAGGCCGAAAGGCGUAGUCGAUGGAAAACCGGUUCAUAUUCCGGUACUUGCGUGUGCGCGUGAUGGAGGGACGCAGAAGGAUAGGCUGGCCUGGUGAUGGAUAUCCAGGUUCAAGACUGUAGGCGGAAUUCUCAGGUAAAUCCGAGAAUUCUAUAACGCCGAGAGUUGAUGACGAGAGGCUUUGCUUCGCAAAGCAGUCGAUUCCACACUGCCUAGAAAAGCUUCUAAGCAUAGCACAGGCAAACCGUACCCCAAACCGACACAGGUGGGCGGGUAGAGAAUACCAAGGCGCUUGAGGGAAAUCAUGUUAAGGAACUCUGCAAAAUAACUCCGUAACUUCGGAAGAAGGAGUGCCUGCAGUGGUGAAGGGACUUGCUCCCUGAGCUGCUUCGGGCCGCAGUGACCAGGCCCAGCCGACUGUUUAGCAAAAACACAGCACUCUGCCAAAUCGCAAGAUGAUGUAUAGGGUGUGACGCCUGCCCGGUGCCGGAAGGUUAAUGGGAGGGGUUAGUUCUUCGGAACGAAGCUCCGAACUGAAGCCCCGGUAAACGGCGGCCGUAACUAUAACGGUCCUAAGGUAGCGAAAUUCCUUGUCGGGUAAGUUCCGACCUGCACGAAUGG